rnacentral:rRNA from 1 species
GACGAACGCUGGCGGCGUGCUUAACACAUGCAAGUCGAACGGAAAGGCCCUGCUUGCAGGGUGCUCGAGUGGCGAACGGGUGAGUAACACGUGGGUGAUCUGCCCCUUACUUUGGGAUAAGCCUGGGAAACUGGGUCUAAUACUGGAUAGGACCAUGCUGUAGGUGGUGUGGUGGAAAGAUUAGUUUCGGUAGGGGAGGAGCUCGCGGCCUAUCAGCUUGUUGGUGGGGUAAUGGCCUACCAAGGCGUCGACGGGUAGCCGGCCUGAGAGGGUGGACGGCGACAUUGGGACUGAGAUACGGCCCAGACUCCUACGGGAGGCAGCAGUGGGGAAUAUUGCACAAUGGGCGCAAGCCUGAUGCAGCGACGCCGCGUGGGGGAUGACGGCCGUCGGGUUGUAAACUCCUUUCAGCCAUGACGAAGCCCUUGUGGUGACGGUAGUGGUAGAAGAAGCACCGGCUAACUACGUG